AUACGGAGGGUCCAAGCGUUAUCCGGAAUCAUUGGGUCUAAAGGGUGCGCAGGCGGUUUAUUAAGUCAGUGGUGAAAUCUCGAGGCUCAACCUCGAAACUGCCAUUGAUACUGAUAAACUUGAGUUCAGUUGGAGUAGGCGGAAUGUGUAGUGUAGCGGUGAAAUGCUUAGAUAUUACACAGAACGCCGAUAGCGAAGGCAGCUUACUAAACUGAUACUGACGCUGAGGCACGAAAGCGUGGGGAGCGAACAGGAUUAGAAACCCUAGUAGUCC
rnacentral:rRNA from 1 species